GCUCGUUCUACUCUCCCCCUUAACAGCUCUGUCACAGCAGCCUGUCUGUAAGUGGAGCUGUCAGUGAGAUGGAGGUGGCCUGAAGAGGCUUUACUGAAGGGUGAAGACUUGAUUUUAUUUGGUAUGAUGAAGUAAAGCUGAGCGUGUAAAGAAAAGAACAUUCACAUUGCAAAAAUACUUUAAUGUAUGAUAGCCAUCUUCAGCCUACAAGGAUCUGUCCUCACCGUUGUGUCUGUGGCAUCGCUCAGUGUUUUCUCCGCUUUCUGCCUGUGGUGCAGGAGGAAAACCAAACAGCCUCAAUUCGUCGGGGUAUGGAAAUCGUUCCACAGGGAUGCUGGCCCAUGUUGACUCCAAUGCUGGCUGGAUGUCCUUUGGGUGGUGGACUGCUCUUGAUACACACGGGAAACUGUUGAGUGUGAAAAACCCAGCAAAGUUGCAGUUCUUGACACACUCAAACCGGUGUGCCUGGCACCUACUACCAUACCCCGUUUCAAGGCACUUCAAUAGUUUGUCUUGCCCAUUCACCCUCUGAAUGGCACACAUUAACAAUACAUGUUUCAAUUGUCUCAAGGCGUAAAAAUCCUUAUUUGACUUGUCUCCUCCCCUUCACACAUUUGAAAUGGAUUUAACAAGUGACAUCAAUAAGGGAUCAUAGCUUUCACCUGGUCAUGUCAUGGAAAGAGCAGGUGUUCCUAAUGUUUUGUACACUCAGUGUAAGUGCCAUUAAAUACAAUUAUCACCCAUUUCUGUAGAAAUAAUACAUGAAGAGAAUCAAAUGUAUGACCCUCAAAUAUUGUAAGUAUAACAUAAACAUAGAUAUGAAAUAAUUGAUGCACUGUAGGACCGAUUGUGAUCUUAUGGAUAUGGAUAUGGUGAAUAUUACAUAGAUUAAUAGAAAAAUGAGUGUAUGUAUUUUCUAAUGUGAAAUUCAUAAAGUAGGAAUUUUCUAUCAUUCAUAAAAGAGUUGUUUCUAUUCUAACAUUACAGUUUAAUUGCAUGUUGUAAAACAAUUUAACCUCAUUAUUGGCUAAUAUAUUACAAUAUGAUUUUAGCUUACAUAACUCUGCCCACUCCACAGCAAAGGUAGAAGAUUUGCAGUUAUGCGAUCUCAAACAGGUAAACUGGCAUUGUGAUUCAUCAUACCAUUUGGGGCAGUUUCACAAGCAGGACCAGUCUUAUUUUACUUAAAUUAAUCCAGAUUAAUAAUGGAUUUUACCGAUUGUGAUAUCUCUUUUCACAUUGAAUGAUUGAAUGAAUCUAAUUAAUAUGCUAUGGCUAUCUUGUGCUGAUCAACAGUAAAUUAUAUGUUCUCACCACUGAA